GGCUUGGUCGGGCGGUCCGCCUCACGGUGUGUACUGUCUGACUGAGUCUUACCUCUUGGUGAGCCGGCGUGCGCUUUAUUGUGUGCGUCGGGGAACCAGGACUUUUACCUUGAGAAAAUUAGAGUGUUCAAAGCAGGCCUAUGCCUGAAUACAUUAGCAUGGAAUAAUAGAAUAGGACGGUGGUCCUGUUUUGUUGGUUUCUGAAUCACCGUA
rnacentral:rRNA from 1 species